GAGGAAGAAAAUACUGGGUUUGCUGGGGAUAAGUUUCUCAAGAUUCUAGGUGCGGAUUUUUAGAACUUUUUGUGAUAUGUUUUGACCAGGAUAGAAUCAGAGAUUUUUUUCGCCUCCCUUGAAAGAGCCAGCAUCUCUAGUGAGUUCGUGUGUGGCGCAGGGCGAAUCUCGGGACUUCAAUUAAGAAUCCCGCGGAGAAAGCCGGUCUGCGCUGUUCCUUGGUGGCGACUUUGGUAAGGAGCUGAGCUUAUGCUUUAGUGGCUUACUAUGGCCCAGCGGGCAGUGUGGCUUAUACGCCACGAACCAGGAACUCCACUUUGUGGCACCGUGAGAUUCUCCAGACGUUAUCCAACCGUUGAAAAGAGAGCCAAAGUAUUCAAUGGAGCAAGUUAUGUGCCUAUUCCUGAAGAUGGUCCCUUUCUUAAAGCACUCCUUUUUGAACUUAGAUUAUUGGAUGAUGAUAAGGACUUUGUAGAGCGUCGUGAUAGUUGUACACACAUCAAUAAAACAACCAUCUAUAGACUUUCAUUCGGAGGUGAAGAACUCUGGCCAGUGGUUGCUUUUCUGAAGAAUGGCAUGAUAUAUGCUAGUGUUCCACUUGUUGAACAAACUCUCUCCCCUCAUCCACCAUUAAUUAGCAUCAGUGGAAUUUCACAAGGCUUGGAACUUCUUUUUGGUAUACAGGAUUUUCUUUAUUCUAGUCAAAAAAAUGAUACUGAGCUAAAUACAAAAUUGAGCCAGUUGCCUAAUUUGCUUCUUCAGGCUUGUCCAUUUGGUACUUUGUUAGAUGCCAACUUACAGAAUUCAUUGGAUAAUAUUAAUUUUGCUUCUGUGUCACAGCCACAGAAACAGCCAGCUUGGAAAGCUGGAACAUACAAAGGAAAACCACAGGUUUCUAUUUCUAUUACUGAAAAGGUAAAAUCCAUGCAAUAUGAUAAACAGGAUAUAGCAGAUACAUGGCAAGUUGUUGGAGCAGUCAUUUGCAAGUGUGAUUUAGAAGGAAUCAUGCCAAAUGUCACCAUCAGCUUGAACCUCCCUACCAAUGGAUCUCCACUUCAAGAUAUUCUAGUUCAUCCUUGUGUGACUUCUCUUGAUUCUGCCAUUCUGACCUCUAGCAGCAUUGAUGCAGUGAAUGAUUCUGCAUUUAGUGGGCCUUAUAAAUUUCCACUCACUCCACCUUUAGAGUCAUUCAAUUUAUGCUACUAUACUUCCCAGGUCCCUGUACCACCAAUUUUGGGUUUCUAUCAAAUGAAAGAAGAAGAAAUACAACUAAAAAUAAAAGUUAAUUUAAAACUUCAUGAAAGUGUGAAAAAUAAUUUUGAAUUCUGUGAAGCUCAUAUACCUUUUUACAAUAGAGGUCCAAUUACACAAUUAGAAUACAAAGUUAGUUUUGGCCAGCUUGAAGUAUUUCGAGAGAAAAGCUUACUGAUCUGGAUUAUUGGCCAGAAGUUCCCCAAAUCAAUGGAAAUUAGUCUUUCUGGAACUAUAACCUUUGGAGCCAAGAGCCAUGACAAACAACCAUUUGACCAGAUUUGUAUUGGAGAUACAGCAUAUGUAAAGCUUCAUUUUAGCAUCUUAGAUUACACACUCACCGGAUGUUAUGCGGAUCAACAUUCAGUUCAAGUUUUCGCAUCAGGAAAACCAAAAAUAAGUUCAUACCGGAAACUAGUGUCUUCUGAUUAUUACAUCUGGAAUUCUAAAGCCCCUGCUCCAGUAACCUAUGGAUCAUUAUUACUGUGAUUUUUUUAAUAUUUAAAUGGGAUUUAUACAAUAGUAACACAGCAUAAAUGAAAUCAUAGUUUUUAUAUCUAUUGUGUAUUCAUAUAACCUGUAAGUGAAAAAAUCUGAAGGAUUUUAAUUAUAAAAUAUUCAUACUUGAAAUUUUUUAAUCUGAUAUAGUUUGAAAGAAUGUCAUAAUAUAUUAUGAUAUUUUUGUCAUAUAACAUUAUUAUAAUAUAUUGCAUAUUAUGUUAUAUAUCAUAGCAUUAAUAUAUAAUUAUAUAUUAUAUUAUAGUAUAUCAUUAUUGUUAUAUAAUAUUAUUGUUGUAAAGGCUAAUAUCUCCUGUGUUUGUUACCCUUUCGUUUUCUGUCACUGUGAUUCAGAAUACAAAGAAUUCGUGAUUCACUCUGACUUAUUGAAGACUCAUCCUGGGUCAACAUGCUGUACAUGUUCCUUCCCACCCCUAUAGCAGAUAACUGCUAAUCAAUCACAACCCUCUUCCUACUGUGAGCCUUCCUGGAAAACUACGGAAAAUCUGAGGAGUACUGGAAAAGUAUAGAGAUGAUGGAGAACCCCAUGCCAUCUGUUGCCAUUCCAUUCCAGCAAGACUACAGAACUAAACCAACUCAUGUUUUCAUCCCUUCAAGAUCAGCUGGGCACACUAUGAUGCUUUUGAUUUUGUCUAGGAACCUGUCACUUCAGGAUAAUUUCUGAAGACAAAGUCUGUUUCCCGUUUGGUAGGUGACCUGUUUAAUGUUUUCCCUGUGUCUGGGAACUCCUUAGUGUAAUUAGCGACCUUUGAACUCCGCAACUAAUCCUGAGCUAUUUUGUAUUCCUUACUCAUCUUUAAGGCUGGACCUUUCUUUUAUUCAGAGUCCUCUGCCACAAUUAAAGAAGAAACAGCUGCAUUUCAAAGGGAUUCCGAUUCCAGAAGCUUAAUCGUGAUUGACAUGUUCUUAUUCUAAGCUAUAAGACACUCUAAGAGUCCUUUCUUGGGUUAAAACUUCAAUCAUUUUCUAAAAAAAUUAUCUCACUACGGAUUUUAUUCAUUUUCUUUGAUAACUAUUCUUUGCAUUUUUUAACUCGAAAGAUGCUUUGCAUUUGCAGUGAAUAUGAGCAACUACUUCUAGUGAAAGAUUUGGAUGGUGUCAGUCCUGCUCUAGAUGGAAAAUUUCUAAAUUCCCUUUUAGUGCCAAAAUAUGAUUACGAAAUCUGAUGUCUAUCAUAUGGGUAAUUAUUCUUCCCUAAAUCCCAAAGGCAAAAGGAAAAAUAGCUAAAUUUCUGAAAAUGAACUCCAGAAAAGAUGGUUCGUGAUUUUGGUAAAAACUUUUCUUACUAAACAAUAUUUUAAAACUUUUUAAAGUCAGCAAUAUUGAAGUUAGGCAAUAUCCUGGUGGUAUUUUAUACUUUUAAAAUAAUCAACUCAAGUUUGAAGUAAAUAGGCUCAUCAGGAAUUCUUAUGAGAAUGUUUUAUUAUUUUUAUUAAACUUUCUGCCUAAUAAAAUAUUUAAAAUUUUUCA